rnacentral:rRNA from 1 species
ACGCUGGCGGCAGGCCUAACACAUGCAAGUCGAGCGGUAGAGAGAAGCUUGCUUCUCUUGAGAGCGGCGGACGGGUGAGUAAUGCCUAGGAAUCUGCCUGGUAGUGGGGGAUAACGUCCGGAAACGGACGCUAAUACCGCAUACGUCCUACGGGAGAAAGCAGGGGACCUUCGGGCCUUGCGCUAUCAGAUGAGCCUAGGUCGGAUUAGCUAGUUGGUGGGGUAAUGGCUCACCAAGGCGACGAUCCGUAACUGGUCUGAGAGGAUGAUCAGUCACACUGGAACUGAGACACGGUCCAGACUCCUACGGGAGGCAGCAGUGGGGAAUAUUGGACAAUGGGCGAAAGCCUGAUCCAGCCAUGCCGCGUGUGUGAAGAAGGUCUUCGGAUUGUAAAGCACUUUAAGUUGGGAGGAAGGGCAGUUGCCUAAUACGUGAUUGUUCUGACGUUACCGACAGAAUAAGCACCGGCUAACUCUGUGCCAGCAGCCGCGGUAAUACAGAGGGUGCAAGCGUUAAUCGGAAUUACUGGGCGUAAAGCGCGCGUAGGUGGCUUCGUAAGUUGGAUGUG